UCAAGGGCCGUGGGGGAGGGCUUGAUCUUGAAUUAGUGGAAAUUCUUCAAGGACCGUUGGGGCUUGCUUUUGAAUGAGGAUUUGACGAAGAACGAAGAGAGCUUUCUUGAUCCUUCGGGAUUUGCUUGGGAGCUUUGGAGUUUCAAAGCUUCAAGGUUGUGGUGUAAGGUGAAUUGGUUAUGAAUUGGUGUCUAAAAUGAAUGCCUUGGCCUCCUAUUUAUAGAAUUCCAAAACUUGAUUUUUUGGAUUUAAAUAAUUAGAUGAAAUAACUCAUUUCUGCCAGGUGUUGACACAUGUCCUGUUUGAUGACUUUUCCGAUUUAUUUUGAUUUUUCGUUUAGUCACAUGCUAUGUGUAAAAUUUAUGUGACACAUAAACGUUGAAAUUUUAAUUAUUGAUCAACAUUUAUUUUACCGAAAUUUCGAUGUCUACAAAUGCCCCCACUUCAAGACGCGUCGUAUACAUGUGCUUGUCAUGUGUAGAAGAUACGUUUUGGAGUCCCUUACUGCAGAUGUUGAUCCAAGGGCCGUUGAGGCUUGAUCUUGACUGGGUUGGUAAUUUCUUCAAGGGCCGUCGGGGCUUGAUCUUGAACUUUGUUUGAAAUUUCUUCAAAGGCCGUUGAGGCUUGAUCUUGAAGGUUGAAAUUUGACCACAAUGAGCUUCAUGUGGUAGAUGAUCUUUUGCUUUGGUAGUGGGUGAAUUGGCAAGUAUUUUGUUGCGUUUGUUGACUUUCCACAGCUUUGAUCUUGAACUGGUUUGGAGGAUUUUCUGGUUUCCUCCAAUUGUUGACUUUCCACAGGCUUAUUCUUGAACUGGGUUGGAGGAUUUUCUGGUUUCCUUCAAUUGUUGACUUUCCACAGGCUAUUCAUGAACUAGGCUGGAGGGUUUUCUAGUUUCCUCCAAAAGACUUUCCACAUACUUAAUCUUGAACUGGAUUUGAUUCAAGGGUGGUGGCCACUUGAUCUUGAAUCGGACUUGUGAUUUCUUUAAGGGCCGUCGAGGCUUGAUCUCGAACUUAAACAUGACCACGAGCAGUUUCAGGACAUGCAUGCUUUGAAAGAUCAAGGAAGUUCGCAGCAUUUUCAUAUGAACCCUGAGCAGUUUGGUCAACGAUAUGAUUUUCAAGAUUGAUGGGCUCUUCUUCCAAUUGGUGACUUGAUCUUUAAGGAUUAUCGAGACUUUGCUAUUUGGCGAUAGUGCCAGCGAAAGAUUGUUGAAGCUUCUCGAGCUCUUUGAUUAUAGCAACGAUGGCAGGCUUGGAUUUGACUUAGACCCUUCCGUCUGGAUUAUGCAGUUCUGCCGAGAAGGGUGUUCUACCAUAAUGAUUUGUUUCGGCUCAUCGUGCUGCGUUUUUCUUUGCUUGUUUCUUUCGCCUAGCCGAAGUGGUGCGCAACCUUUUGCCUUUAAAUGGUCAUUCAGAGCAUCACUUUUCAGCCACUCAUUCAUGCUUGGCAGCUUCAGUGUAAAGAGCCAACACCAUAUCAACUAUUUUGAAAUAUUUGCUGAGGAAAUUCGAGAUGCGUCAACAGUUGAAGAUGAGUA
rnacentral:lncRNA from 1 species